CUACAACACAACGGCCGUUAACUCAUCGUCGAUCUCAAAUUCCGCAAAGGAAAAGAAAAAGAAAAAGAAAACAAAAAGACCUCUUUGAGUUCUGGCGUUGAACGGAAACUUCAAACCUCAAACCCUACCUAGUACGGAGGGAGAGUGAGAUUACUUCUUCUCCAACUACAAUCUUCAACGUCUCGUGGUGGAGAACUUCUAAUUUGUUUUGAUAUUUGGAUUUGAACUUCUUUUCUUGGACUACGGGGAUAUCAGCUUAGGAUAAGAGUCGACAAACAUGCUGCGUCACUAUUGGAAUUGAAUUGUUGACACUAAAGUGUCUGAGAGAUGUUAUUAACAAAGAUAUCCCUGCUAAUGGUUCUGCUGCAUCUGAAAAGAUUUACAAUGCAGCAUGGCUAUGUGUUCGAUUAUUCAGACUAUCUUUGAAAAUUCAUUGAUAUAGCUUAUAGGCACUUCACAUUUUUUGGCUAAUCUUGUUGUACCUUCGUCCUAGUUUGUCAAAGAAGAGAGAUCUCACAGUUGAACCAGCAUGUCUGUGACUAACCUUAUAGAAAUUAGUUCAUCAGACAGUGAUGUAGAUCUAGAAUAUAUUAGUGACAGUGACGACGAUGUUGCACUAAAUAUUGGGGAAUCUAGUGGCAGUAGAAAGCUCCCUUAUUGGGCAUCCACAGAUUAUAGUCCAGGUCAAAGUAAUGUUAAUAACAGUCUGCAUUCUGGUUCUAAUGGUGACACUAGAGCCUCAAAUCAUCAUAUUGUCCUCACAGACGAUACCAAUUAUCUUACUGAAAAUGGGAAUACUGGUCUUCCUCGAACUGUGAAUUCUCGAAUUGCAACCACAGCCGGUGCAGAUUAUGAAAGAUUAUCUUCUCAACAGGCUUUUAAGAGGACCCUGCCUUAUACCUCUCAGUCAUAUGCACCCCUCACAAAAUCAAAUAACUUAGUCGACAAUGUGGGCAGCAGUCAAAGUCGUGAUGCCCCCAUCAGUUAUGAUUCAGGAAGGCCAAGUUCAACUACUGGCAGGUUUUAUGGGAGAGAAAUUUUUUUCAGAGGCAAUGGUGACGAUACCAUUAGUUCUGAGAACAGGGAUUAUAGAAUCCUCCCUGCGAGUUGGGCACCAGGGAAACCUAUUCCUUCACAGUAUCCAGGUGAACAUCCCCAUCGUCCUGGUUAUGGUGAAGAAAUGGUGGCUGGAGGUGAUGAGAGAUUGAUUUAUCAAGCAGCAUUGGAGGAUCUAAAUCAACCAAAACAAGAGGCUACUCUUCCUGAUGGUCUUCUGUCUGUUCCUCUUUUAAGACACCAGAAAAUUGCAUUAUCAUGGAUGCUACAGAAGGAAAAUAAAAGUCUGCAUUGUUUGGGAGGAAUUUUAGCGGAUGAUCAGGGCCUUGGAAAGACAGUUUCUAUGAUUUCACUCAUACAAUUGCAGAAGUCCAAUCAAUCAAAGGCAAAAUUAGAAGAUGGAAGCAAAACAAAAGCUGAAGCUUUGAAUUUGGAUGACGACGAUGAUAAUGGCACUGGCACUGGCACUGGCACUGCUGAUUCAGAUAAAAUGCAGCAGACUGGAGAGUCUGAUGACGUCAAAACAAUUCAAGAAGUGAAAACAACUAGAGCAAUCAGUAAGCGGAGACCAGCAGCUGGUACAUUGGUUGUGUGUCCUGCAAGUAUUCUCCGGCAGUGGGCCAGAGAACUAGAUGACAAAGUCCCUGAAGAAAAAAAACUUUCAGUUUUAAUCUAUCAUGGGGGAAGUAGGACUAGGGAUCCUGAUGAGCUUGCAAAGUAUGAUGUGGUUCUCACAACAUAUGCCAUUGUCACCAAUGAAGUUCCAAAACAGCCUUUAGUUGAUGAGGAUGAUGGUGAGGAAAAAAAUGGAGAUAGAUAUGGAUUAUCUUCUGAUUUUUCUGUCAACAAAAAGAGGAAAAAGACUUCUACCAGUAGUAAGAAGGGUAAGAAGGGCAGGAAAGGAACUGGUAUUUCCUUUGAGUGUGAUUCUGGCCCACUUGCAAGAGUGGGUUGGUUCAGGGUUAUUCUGGAUGAAGCUCAGACAAUAAAGAAUCACAGAACUCAAGUGGCUAGAGCCUGCUGUAGCCUUCGAGCCAAAAGAAGGUGGUGCUUAUCUGGAACACCUAUACAAAAUGCAAUUGAUGAUUUAUAUAGCUAUUUCAGAUUUCUGAGGUACGAUCCUUAUGCUGUCUAUAAAUCUUUCUACCAUACAAUCAAGGUUCCAAUUUCCAGAAAUUCAGUUACUGGGUAUAAGAAGCUUCAGGCUGUUCUAAGGGCAAUAAUGUUGCGACGAACUAAAGGCACAUUGAUUGAUGGGCAGCCGAUUGUCAAAUUGCCCCCCAAAACCAUACGGUUAACGAAAGUGGAUUUUUCUACAGAGGAGCGUGACUUUUAUACCCAAUUAGAAGCUGAUUCUCGCAAGCAAUUCAAGGCUUAUGCUGCAGCUGGUACAGUAAAGCAAAACUAUGCAAAUAUUCUGUUAAUGCUUCUACGCCUCCGCCAGGCUUGUGACCACCCACUUCUUGUAAAAGGGUACAAUACCGAUUCUGUGGGGAAGGAUUCUAUAGAAAUGGCAAGUAAGCUUCCUAAGGAUAUGCUGAUGAAUCUGAUAAAAUGCUUGGAGGCUUCUUUGGCCAUAUGCCGUGUCUGCGAGGAUCCGCCCGAGAAUCCUGUUGUUACCAUGUGUGGUCAUGUUUUCUGCUUCCAAUGCGUGUCUGAAUCCAUGACUGGUGAUGACAAUAUGUGCCCGGCACUUGGAUGCAAGGAACAAGUUGCUGCUGACGUUGUUUUCUCAAAAACUACCCUUCGUAAAUGUUUCUCUGAGGAUCUUGAUGGUGGUUCCACAAGUUUGGGAAUUCCUGAGAAAUCCCAAGUUGUUCAUAGUGAGUACAGUUCGUCCAAAAUUAGGGCUGUUCUUGAGAUUCUGCAGAAUAAUUGCAAAGCAUCCAUUUCAACUUCUGAACAAGGGGUCUCCGUUGGAUGCAAUGGAAGUUCUCUACAGUCUGAAGAUGAAUGCAUUGAGAUCUGUGAUUCUGAUGUUAAUAAUACAAAGCACGCAUCUCCAUGUCCUCCAACUGAAGAACCUGUAAAGACAAUUGUUUUCUCCCAGUGGACCAGCAUGUUAGAUUUAGUAGAAUUGUCACUAAACGAAGCUUGCAUUCAAUAUAGGAGACUUGAUGGCACAAUGUCUCUGGUUUCAAGAGACCGUGCUGUGAAAGAUUUCAACUCCGACCCUGAGAUCUCUGUUAUGUUGAUGUCAUUGAAGGCAGGAAAUUUAGGUUUGAACAUGGUUGCAGCAUGCCAUGUUAUCUUAUUGGAUCUUUGGUGGAAUCCAACUACUGAGGAUCAGGCUGUAGACCGAGCACAUAGAAUUGGACAGACUCGUCCUGUUACGGUGUCAAGGAUUACUGUAAAAGACACCGUAGAAGAUAGGAUACUAGCACUGCAGCCCAUACAUACGAGCCAUGACUCUGCCUCCAAGAGCUGACUCCUUUUUGGUGCCUUCAAAGCCACUUGAGUAGGAGGGAACUGGGAGGGCAUUGCUUCUGUGCUCUAGAGAAUCCACCCACACCAAGGGAAUAUGGGAAGGGAAGACCCACUCUAAUAUACCGAAGGAGUAAAUUAGAGUGGAUCUUUCUGCAGGUUGUAAGCCCUUCCAUUCCAUCAACUUCUCCAAGUUCUUUAUGACUUUCAAGGGAACACUAAGAAGGGAGCAGUAGUCCCUUGAUGAAGGAAGAGAAGAGAAAAAUGGUUGCAUCAGCAUUUGGUGAAGAUCAAAGUGGAGGUUCUGCUUCCCGCUUGACAGUUGAAGAUCUCAGAUAUCUCUUUAUGGUUUGAAUUGUCAAGCAGCUCAGCUUCUUCGUCUGGAAGUUUUAGUUAGCUUACACUUCUGGAAAAUUUUGUAGGGAUCAGAAUAACUUCUGGUUCUGGUAAUUUAAGGGUGAGUGACACUGGUUGCACAUAUUUUGCACACCAGGAGUGGCCCAUGGGAUGGACUGGGUCAGCAUAUACUUACGGUAAUAUAAAUGAGUUUUUGUGGCCCUAGUAACAGCAUUUUCUUUUUCUUUCUUCCUUUGGGAUUUCAGUGAAGUGCCAAGAUAUCUUGAUAGGCCUGCCUGUAAAUAUCCAAGUUGAUUUCUAUUGUAUAGAAAAUGUUUAGUUUUAGUUGGGUUUCUUUUUCCUCUUUAAUUUAUUUUGACAUCACGUCUAAAUUCGGUAAUGAUCAUCUCUCAAAAGACCAGGUAUAUAUUCAAGACGUGUGCUGUAUAGAAUAUUGCAGGUUUCAUUGUGUUGCUUAGAAAAUAUGACUAUUGAAUGCUGAGGAUUGAAGAAGAGGAUGGAGUAAAGAUAGCACAUUAAGGAUUUCAAAUCGUGUCUGUCAAUCAAGGUACAUGUUACCGCAGCUUAUCUUGUUCUUCUUUAAAGAUGUCAUGGAUUCACAUUAACUGCAGUUCAGUGGGCUCAAGAAAACGUGUUAUGCUUGUUUAUGGAUAAGUUGUUUCAGACUUGUGACCCAAUCUAGUUGCUUUGAUCGAACUCUGAUUCUGGAAAAAUCUAUGGCAACUUAUCUGUGAUGUAUUGGGAACCUCAGGCUCGAACUGAGGAUUUGUAUGUAUAUUAUUUUUAUUUACAUAUGUUGUAUAUUUAGCUGUUUCGAACUCACUAGAGACUUACUGUAAUUUUUCUUUCUACUAGUUCAAGGCUUUCUAUGUAUGAAUGAAAUGUUACUGAGUUUUUUUCCCCUUUCUACAUGGUGCGAGAAUGCCUUGAGUUUUUUUUCCUAGAAGCUUCGGGCUUUCUUUCUACCAAAUUUUAGGGCUUGAAGUUGGGUAUCAUUUUGAGAUAGCAACUAGCAUGAACAUCUCAAGAUUCAUCUGCACAAUUUGACUACUAGAGGCGAGACAUGUGAAGCUUACAUAUCACUGUACUACUGCUACCUUUAUCCCACAUAGUAGGGCAAUUUAUUCCUGGCUGUAAAACUCUGCGGUCAUCAUGGUUUGACCUACAUGUAUGCUUGAUUUGUACCACUUGCUUACUCUUGUUCUAUAGGUGUUCUUGAUUUGAUUAGAAUAUGGUUUGAAAGAGGGUCAUUAUGUAAUAGGCGUUUUGGAACUUUGUCUAAACUGGGUUUGUGUUGUUAGUUGACAUACCAUUUUGAUUUCAUUAUCGAACAGAACAUGUAACCAGAUGUGCAAUGAGGCUCUAGUGAUAUCCAAAAGCACUAAAUUCACGUC